GGUAAAAUGGCUGAUUUAAGUGUUAGAUUGUAAAUCUAAUUAUGGGUUAAUUUAAUCCUUUUACCA
rnacentral:tRNA from 1 species